UACGGAGGGGGUUAGCGUUGUUCGGAAUUACUGGGCGUAAAGCGCACGUAGGCGGAUUAGUCAGUCAGAGGUGAAAUCCCAGGGCUCAACCUUGGAACUGCCUUUGAUACUGCUAGUCUUGAGUUCGAGAGAGGUGAGUGGAAUUCCGAGUGUAGAGGUGAAAUUCGUAGAUAUUCGGAGGAACACCAGUGGCGAAGGCGGCUCACUGGCUCGAUACUGACGCUGAGGUGCGAAAGCGUGGGGAGCAAACAGG
rnacentral:rRNA from 1 species